rnacentral:rRNA from 1 species
CAGUCGCCACGGGAAUACGGUGGGAGCUAGCGUUGUUCGGAAUUACUGGGCGUAAAGCGCACGUAGGCGGUUAUUCAAGUCAGAGGUGAAAGCCCGGGGCUCAACCCCGGAACUGCCUUUGAAACUAGAUGACUGGAAUCUUGGAGAGGUCAGUGGAAUUCCGAGUGUAGAGGUGAAAUUCGUAGAUAUUCGGAAGAACACCAGUGGCGAAGGCGACUGACUGGACAAGUAUUGACGCUGAGGUGCGAAAGCGUGGGGAGCAAACAGGAUUAGAUACCCCAGUAGUCCCUGUCUCUUAUAC